rnacentral:lncRNA from 1 species
GCUGACUCAGUCUAGAAUCUUGGUGUGCUUGCAGGCUUUGAAGAACAAGCUGCCAUGAAUCCUGCAGCUACAAGGAAAUGAACUCUAUUAACUUGAGUGAGCUUAAAACUAGAUCCUUCCCCAGUCAAGCCUCCAGGUGAGAAUUCAAUCCUGGCUGGCACCUGGAUUGCAGCUUACAGAAGACCCAGCUAAGGCCAUGUCUGGACUUUAAAUCCACAGGAACUGCAAGAUGGUAUCAGAAGUGGGACCUGCAGUGGGGCAUCUAGCAACCCCCAGGAGCAUUGAGUGACCAGGCUUGGGACCCACCGGGCGCAGGGUGUCCAUUGUUCUCUCGAAGCAACUGAGAAUUGUGGGACCCAUGAAGGAGCAUCAAGCUCAGCCUCAGAUAUUCUUCAUUAUUCCAUCAUCAUCUCAAACCUCUUGGGUAUAGUGUUUGACUACUACUGUGACCAUAAAUUCCAAUAAAACCUAGGAAAAAUGAAACCACUACAUUAACUGAAAGGGAUCAGUGUAUGUGAGAAGUUUGGAUUUCUACCCCCA